rnacentral:rRNA from 1 species
CUACGGGGGGCUGCAGUGGGGAAUAUUGGACAAUGGGGGAAACCCUGAUCCAGCAAUGCCGCGUGUGUGAAGACGGCCUGCGGGUUGUAAAGCACUUUCGGUUGGGAGGACUGCUUCUAGCACUAAUAUUGUUGGAAGUUGACGUUACCUUCAGAAGAAGCACCGGCUAACUCCGUGCCAGCAGGCCGCGGUAAUACGGAGGGUGCAAGCGUUAAUCGGAAUUACUGGGCGUAAAGCGCGCGUAGGCGGCUAGAUCAGUCGGGUGUGAAAGCCCCGGGCUUAACCUGGGAACUGCAUCCGAUACUGUCUAGCUUGAGUACAGGAGAGGAGAGUGGAAUUCCACAUGUAGCGGUGAAAUGCGUAGAUAUGUGGAGGAACACCAAUGGCGAAGGCAGCUCUCUGGCCUGAUACUGACGCUGAGGUGCGAAAGCGUGGGGAGCAAACAGGAUUAGAUACCCCCGUAGUC